UACAGAGGGGGCAAGCGUUGUUCGGAAUUACUGGGCGUAAAGGGCGCGUAGGCGGCCUUCUAAGUCGAACGUGAAAUCCCCGGGCUCAACCCGGGAACUGCGUCCGAUACUGGAGGGCUUGAAUCCGGGAGAGGGAUGUGGAAUUCCAGGUGUAGCGGUGAAAUGCGCAGAUAUCAGGAGGAACACCAAUUGCGAAGGCAGCUCGCUGGGACGUUACUGACGCUGAGACGCGAAAGCGUGGGGAGCAAACAGG
rnacentral:rRNA from 1 species